AGAGUUUGAUCAUGGCUCAGGAUGAACGCUAGCGGCAGGCUUAACACAUGCAAGUCGAGGGGCAGCGCAGGUAGCAAUACUGGGCGGCGACCGGCAAACGGGUGCGGAACACGUACGCAAUUUACCCUUAUCUGGGGGAUAGCCCGGAGAAAUCCGGAUUAAUACCCCAUAAUAUAUAUGGAUGGCAUCAUCUGCAUAUUAAAGCUCAGGCGGAUAAGGAUGAGCGUGCGUCCCAUUAGCUAGUUGGUAGGGUAAAGGCCUACCAAGGCGACGAUGGGUAGCUGGUGUGAGAGCACGACCAGCCACACGGGCACUGAGACACGGGCCCGACUCCUACGGGAGGCAGCAGUGAGGAAUAUUGGUCAAUGGACGCAAGUCUGAACCAGCCAUGCCGCGUGGAGGAUGAAGGCCUUCUGGGUUGUAAACUUCUUUUAUCGGGGAAGAAAAUUAUGGUUUCUACUAUAACCGACGGUACCCGAGGAAUCAGCACCGGCUAACUCCGUGCCAGCAGCCGCGGUAAUUC
rnacentral:rRNA from 1 species